rnacentral:rRNA from 1 species
CCACGACCAGUCCGUAUGAUGCAAAAUUUCUGAGAUGCGUUAGUGGACUGUGAGUUGGAUGACCUGGGAUAUGUUGGUGAUUAGUUUACUUGGAGGAGACGGCGACUACACGAACAUUUAGACCAGGCUGUAUGUAAUGCGGGCUUUCAUGGCAUCUUCCCGCAUGCAGUAGUCACCAAUGCUCCACAUAUCAAAUCAGAUCACAUACCCCUCGUGUUGGACACUGAGGGACAAGUGGGGAAUAUGUGA